UACGUAGGGUGCGAGCGUUGUCCGGAAUCAUUGGGCGUAAAGCGCGUGUAGGCGGUUCGGUAAGUCGGCUGUGAAAGCCCAGGGCUCAACCCUGGGAUGCCGGUCGAUACUGCCGGACUAGAGUUCGGAAGAGGCGAGUGGAAUUCCCGGUGUAGCGGUGAAAUGCGCAGAUAUCGGGAGGAACACCAAUGGCGAAGGCAGCUCGCUGGGACGUUACUGACGCUGAGACGCGAAAGCGUGGGGAGCAAACAGG
rnacentral:rRNA from 1 species